rnacentral:tRNA from 1 species
CCCGAUGACUGAAAGUAAGUGUAGGUCUUUUAAACCUAUAAUAGUAAUCGCGCCUACUUCUGGUGAAG